UACGGGGGGGGCAAGCGUUGUUCGGAAUUACUGGGCGUAAAGGGCUCGUAGGUGGCCAACUAAGUCGGACGUGAACUCCCUCGGCUUAACCGGGGAACUGCGUCUGAUACUGGAUGGCUUGAGUUCGGGAGAGGGAUGCGGAAUUCCAGGUGUAGCGGUGAAAUGCGUAGAUAUCUGGAGGAACACCGGUGGCGAAGGCGGCAUCCUGGACCAAUUCUGACGCUGAGGAGCGAAAGCCAGGGGAGCAAACGGG
rnacentral:rRNA from 1 species